GCUGGGCGUGGUGGCUCACACCUGUAAUCCCAGCACUUUGGGAGGCUGAGGUGGGAGGAUUGCUUGAGCCCAGGAGUUCACGGCUAGCUUGGGCAACAUAGCAAGACCCCAUCUCAA
ensembl:misc_RNA Metazoa_SRP Metazoan signal recognition particle RNA